rnacentral:lncRNA from 1 species
AUAAUUUUACUAUGCCAAAUACAACCACACGUAUGAAUAUCCACAGAUAAUCAUACACCAUUCACAACUAUAUUUAUUUAGUCAUAAAUCCACAUAUAUUAUUUAAAACGUUUACUACCCGAAAACUGGUUUCGAAAUACUAAGUUACGAAAGAUCCGAGAAAACCUUUUAAAAACUAUUUUUCACACGAAAACCUUUUUCUUUUUAAAAUCACGCUACCAUGAGGGGUAGAAAACCAUUUCCAUUUUACAAAACCAUAAAUCCUUUAUUCAUUUCCAUAAAUCCAAAUUAUUCAAUUGUAAUAAUAAACUGAACCAAUAACUGUCUAAGUCAAAUAAUCCGAAAUAAUGAAAGUAACAGCAAAACUAAACAAACCGGGUCGGAAGCUCUAUCGACUACUACGAACGUGUCUCAUGUCUCGUCUCAUAUCUCACCACCCGCAAUAGCUGAAAAAUGGUGGGGGAGGUCAGAACAUGUAAACAUGUCUUCUCUCCCAGUGGGUACCGCAAGUCGAUGAAGGCGGGGAGUACUUACCGGAUCAGGAAGAGAUAUAUA